rnacentral:rRNA from 1 species
CAGCAGUCGCCACGGUAAUACGUAGGGUGCAAGCGUUAAUCGGAAUUACUGGGCGUAAAGCGUGCGCAGGCGGCUAUAUAAGUCAGAUGUGAAAUCCACGGGCUCAACCUGGGAACUGCAUUUGAGACUGUAUGGCUAGAGUGUGUCAGAGGGGGGUAGAAUUCCACGUGUAGCAGUGAAAUGCGUAGAUAUGUGGAGGAAUACCGAUGGCGAAGGCAGCCCCCUGGGAUAACACUGACGCUCAUGCACGAAAGCGUGGGGAGCAAACAGGAUUAGAUACCCCCGUAGUCCCUGUCUCUUAUAC